rnacentral:rRNA from 1 species
GAUGAACGCUGGCGGCGUGCCUAAUACAUGCAAGUCGAGCGAACGGACGAGAAGCUUGCUUCUCUGAUGUUAGCGGCGGACGGGUGAGUAACACGUGGAUAACCUACCUAUAAGACUGGGAUAACUUCGGGAAACCGGAGCUAAUACCGGAUAAUAUUUUGAACCGCAUGGUUCAAAAGUGAAAGACGGUCUUGCUGUCACUUAUAGAUGGAUCCGCGCUGCAUUAGCUAGUUGGUAAGGUAACGGCUUACCAAGGCAACGAUGCAUAGCCGACCUGAGAGGGUGAUCGGCCACACUGGAACUGAGACACGGUCCAGACUCCUACGGGAGGCAGCAGUAGGGAAUCUUCCGCAAUGGGCGAAAGCCUGACGGAGCAACGCCGCGUGAGUGAUGAAGGUCUUCGGAUCGUAAAGCUCUGUUAUUAGGGAAGAACAUAUGUGUAAGUAACUGUGCACAUCUUGACGGUACCUAAUCAGAAAGCCACGGCUAACUACGUGCCAGCAGCCGCGGUAAUACGUAGGUGGCAAGCGUUAUCCGGAAUUAUUGGGCGUAAAGCGCGCGUAGGCGGUUUUUUAAGUCUGAUGUGAAAGCCCACGGCUCAACCGUGGAGGGUCAUUGGAAACUGGAAAACUUGAGUGCAGAAGAGGAAAGUGGAAUUCCAUGUGUAGCGGUGAAAUGCGCAGAGAUAUGGAGGAACACCAGUGGCGAAGGCGACUUUCUGGUCUGUAACUGACGCUGAUGUGCGAAAGCGUGGGGAUCAAACAGGAUUAGAUACCCUGGUAGUCCACGCCGUAAACGAUGAGUGCUAAGUGUUAGGGGGUUUCCGCCCCUUAGUGCUGCAGCUAACGCAUUAAGCACUCCGCCUGGGGAGUACGACCGCAAGGUUGAAACUCAAAGGAAUUGACGGGGACCCGCACAAGCGGUGGAGCAUGUGGUUUAAUUCGAAGCAACGCGAAGAACCUUACCAAAUCUUGACAUCCUUUGACAACUCUAGAGAUAGAGCUUUCCCCUUCGGGGGACAAAGUGACAGGUGGUGCAUGGUUGUCGUCAGCUCGUGUCGUGAGAUGUUGGGUUAAGUCCCGCAACGAGCGCAACCCUUAAGCUUAGUUGCCAUCAUUAAGUUGGGCACUCUAAGUUGACUGCCGGUGACAAACCGGAGGAGGGUGGGGAUGACGUCAAAUCAUCAUGCCCCUUAUGAUUUGGGCUACACACGUGCUACAAUGGACAAUACAAAGGGCAGCGAAACCGUGAGGUCAAGCAAAUCCCAUAAAGUUGUUCUCAGUUCGGAUUGUAGUCUGCAACUCGACUACAUGAAGCUGGAAUCGCUAGUAAUCGUAGAUCAGCAUGCUACGGUGAAUACGUUCCCGGGUCU